UAUAGGUUAGUGUUAUCCUAGCACCUAGAUCUUUGACCUCUAAAGACGAAGCUAAUUACUUCGACCUAUAA
rnacentral:tRNA from 1 species